rnacentral:lncRNA from 1 species
AUACACUCACCUCCACCCUGGGCCAGACACUGUCCUUCCCAAGGCAAAGGUCUCCAGGGUGCUUUAUAUAGCUGAUCCCUCCCUGGGAAGCACUAAUUUCUUAGUCUCUCCUGAUGUGGGCAGACCCUACAGCCAGGGCCUCACGCUCAGGGAGAUGCUGGUGACCUGGAUCCUGCCGAUGGUUUUCUGGCUCUGGGUAUCCAUCAAUGCCUCAUCCACGGCCAUUACCACAUCUGUAUCAUUGGGAAGGGAGACCCCUUCCAGGGCCUGAGAGUGGGCUCCUGCUUAGCACUCAGAAUUG